rnacentral:rRNA from 2 species
UUGCUAUACAUGCAGUCGAGCGCACUGGCCCAACUGAUAUGACGUGCUUGCACUGAUUUGACGAUGGAUUACCAGUGAGCGGCGGACGGGUGAGUAACACGUGGGCAACCUGCCCUGGAGCGGGGGAUAACAUUUGGAAACAGGUGCUAAUACCGCAUAACUACCAAAACCACAUGGUUUUCAUAUCAAAGAUGGUUUCGGCUAUCACUUUAGGAUGGGCCCGCGGUGCAUUAGCUAGUUGGUAGGGUAACGGCCUACCAAGGCAAUGAUGCAUAGCCGAGUUGAGAGACUGAUCGGCCACAAUGGAACUGAGACACGGUCCAUACUCCUACGGGAGGCAGCAGUAGGGAAUCUUCCACAAUGGGCGCAAGCCUGAUGGAGCAACACCGCGUGAGUGAAGAAGGGUUUCGGCUCGUAAAACUCUGUUGUUGAAGAAGAACGUGCAUGAGAGUAACUGUUCAUGCAGUGACGGUAUUCAACCAGAAAGUCACGGCUAACUACGUGCCAGCAGCCGCGGUAAUACGUAGGUGGCAAGCGUUAUCCGGAUUUAUUGGGCGUAAAGCGAGCGCAGGCGGUUGCUUAAGUCUGAUGUGAAAGCCUUCGGCUUAACCGAAGAAGUGCAUCGGAAACCGGGCGACUUGAGUGCAGAAGAGGACAGUGGAACUCCAUGUGUAGCGGUGGAAUGCGUAGAUAUAUGGAAGAACACCAGUGGCGAANGCGGCUGUCUGGUCUGCAACUGACGCUGAGGCUCGAAAGCAUGGGUAGCGAACAGGAUUAGAUACCCUGGUAGUCCAUGCCGUAAACGAUGAGUGCUAGGUGUUGGAGGGUUUCCGCCCCUCAGUGCCGCAGCUAACACAUUAAGCACUCCUCCUGGGAGAGUACGACCGCAAGGUUGAUACUCAUAUGAAGUGAACAGACGCGCGGCACAAGCAGUGCAGCAUGUGAUUACUUCGAUCUACGCCGANAAUCUUACCGAGUCUUGGGUCGUAANCUGGCCUANNNGANAAAGAUUACGCUNGGNNUCCAUGCACCAANGACGAGUUGUNNNCGNGCACAAACCUUUCNUACAAGNCUGACGAGUNUGUUUNCNUCA